AGCAAAGUGCUGAUUAGUGCUGGAACAAGAAAAGUACAAGAUGCAAUUGGACCAUGAACAAGAAGCUACUAACUUCUUUAGAGAAAGCAUUCUCACAGGCCUUCGAUGAAUUGGACGAUGUCCACCCACAUGGUGAGGGCAGAUCUUUCUUACUCCACCCACCGAUGCAGAUGUCAAUCUCUUCUGGAAGCACUUUCAAGGGCAUACCCAGAGCUAAAGCUUGACCAGCAUUAGUUGGUAAAUAUGUGAUUAGGAACUCUUUAUGAACCAGAAAAGAGAAAUCUUGCACUGAUUGGAAUAUGGCAGCCACUCACCAUCUCCCCUGUCUGCUCUCACUCAGUUUAUGUGACCCAAUGGGAAUGGAGAAUCUCAGGCAUAAAACCAACUGCUUCGUGGGUUACUCUGGAAAAUUCUAAACUGAAGCUUUUUGAGAAAGGCGACAUUACCUCAGAACUUCCACAUGUAGCUACUGUGGAGUUUCUGUUUAUGUGAAUGGAUAUUUUCACCAGAUAUUGGAAACAUGCUGAAGCUGGAUUCCAGUGCAAUAAAGGCAACUCAUUUAGCCAUUGGCCUGUGAUACUAUGAGAAAUACAGUUAAAUUAGACGAAUGCUCCACCAGGAAUUGUGGCCAAAAUAAAUGAUCAUUUUUUAAAAAAGAAAAAGAUAAAGACACAACAGAUUGUCAUUUUUUUCUUCUUGUCGAUGUCCUUGAAAAACAGACUUGAAGUCUCAAAUGAACACCUUAAAUUCCAAAUAACCAUUGAGGCAUUGGGGAAGACUUGUCUCCUUGUUGAUUCUAUGGAUGGAUAGAUGGAUGAUGAGUACUACAAAUAUUUUUAUCUCCUAUGUAUAAAUUAAAGGAAUAGUAACUGAGAAGGGCUUCAGAAAGCUUAUUGGAGGAUAGGCAUUCAGAGAAAAAACUGAAGGAUGAGUAAUUACAGGUGAAGUUGGAGGAGAGGCUAUUUUUGAUUGAAAGAAAAGUAAAGAGAAAGGCAUAGACAGAACUAAAGGAAAUGCAAUUUUACCUCUCAUACGAAGAGCAAUGAUUGUCCCCUCACUUUCAUAUUUCAAUAGAAGAAAAAUCUUUUUCCAAAUAAAAAUCAGAAAACUAAAAAAAUUAUUGAAAUAUUUCUAAUAAAUAACAUUUUCCUAUUUAUUACUUUAUUGCUAUAUUUUCUUAUAAAAUAUAUUUAAAUUAGAUACACAUAAAUAAUAUAUAAUCUAUCUUUAAAUUAGCAAAAUU
rnacentral:lncRNA from 1 species